UUGAUGGGGGACUCAACCGUACGAGCGGCUCCUCAUCAGCCGUCAAUAUCCUCCGCAGCCCUCCGAUCCUCUUCUACACAAACCCCUCCUCGCGCAAGACCCUGAUUCCAAGCCAAGAAGCUAGGGUUUCCAAUCCCCCUUCUAUGGAUCGGAUACAGCCAAGAGAGGGGACUACAACCACGGCCUACUUCCCCUGGGAUAAGAUUCUCGGGGGUUCUAUGUGUGCUACAAGAGGUAAGAAUCUUCCAAAAGCUUUCAAGCAGGUUGUGGUCUUCAGCAUGGUGUUAAUUGCUUGCUGUGAAGUUCUUGUGAGGAGAAUAAACCCUUCGUUUUGAACUUUGGUCUGUUGCCCUGGUUUUAUACUGUACCACAGUCUAGGAGGUAAAACCAAACUCUGGCUUGUUGAAAUGGUUAGAAAGUAUAUAUAGUGAUAGAUAUGAUGUGUUCUUUAGAGAUAUGUGAGAUCUUUUUGCCCCAUCAUUAGUUCAGAUAUA